AGAUACAAUCAUAUCAGCACUAACACACCGGAUCCCAUCAGAACUCCGAAGUUAACUGUGCGUGGGCGAGAGUUGUACUAGGAUGGGUGACCCCCCGGGAAGUCAUCGUGUUGCAUCCC